GGCGGCAGGCCUAACACAUGCAAGUCGAGCGCUACCUUCGGGUGGAGCGGCGGACGGGUUAGUAACGCGUGGGAACGUACCCAGAUCUAAGGAAUAGCCACUGGAAACGGUGAGUAAUACCUUAUACGCCCUUCGGGGGAAAGAUUUAUCGGAUUUGGAUCGGCCCGCGUUAGAUUAGAUAGUUGGUGGGGUAAUGGCCUACCAAGUCUACGAUCUAUAGCUGGUUUUAGAGGAUGAUCAGCAACACUGGGACUGAGACACGGCCCAGACUCCUACGGGAGGCAGCAGUGGGGAAUCUUGGACAAUGGGCGCAAGCCUGAUCCAGCCAUGCCGCGUGAGUGAUGAAGGCCUUAGGGUCGUAAAGCUCUUUCGCCAGAGAUGAUAAUGACAGUAUCUGGUAAAGAAACCCCGGCUAACUCCGUGCCAGCAGCCGCGGUAAUACGGAGGGGGUUAGCGUUGUUCGGAAUUACUGGGCGUAAAGCGUACGUAGGCGGAUUAGUCAGUCAGAGGUGAAAUCCCAGGGCUCAACCCUGGAACUGCCUUUGAUACUGCUAGUCUUGAGUUCGAGAGAGGUGAGUGGAAUUCCAAGUGUAGAGGUGAAAUUCGUAGAUAUUUGGAGGAACACCAGUGGCGAAGGCGGCUCACUGGCUCGAUACUGACGCUGAGGUACGAAAGUGUGGGGAGCAAACAGGAUUAGAUACCCUGGUAGUCCACACCGUAAACGAUGAAUGCCAGUCGUCGGGCAGUAUACUGUUCGGUGACACACCUAACGGAUUAAGCAUCCGC
rnacentral:rRNA from 1 species